GAUGAACGCUGGCGGCGUGCCUAAUACAUGCAAGUCGAGCGAACAGAUGAGGCGCUUGCUCCUCUGACGUUAGCGGCGGACGGGUGAGUAACACGUGGAUAACCUACUUAUAAGACUGGGAUAACUUCGGGAAACCGGCGCUAAUACCGGAUAAUAUAUUGAACCGCAUGGUUCAAUAGUGAAAGUCGGUUUUGCUGUCUCUUCUAGAUGGAUCCGCGCCGCAUUAGCUAGUUGGUAAGGUAACGGCUUACCAAGGCAACGAUGCGUAGCCGACCUGAGAGGGUGAUCGGCCACACUGGAACGGAGACACGGUCCAGACGCCUACGAGAGGCAGCAGUAUGGAAUCUGCCGCAAUGGGCGAAAGCCUGACGGAGCAGCGCCGCGUGAGUGAUGAAGGUCUUCGGAUCGUAAAACUCUGUUAUUAGGGAAGAACAAAUGUGUAAGUAACUAUGCACGUCUUGACGGUACCUAAUCAGAAAGCCACGGCUAACUACGUG
rnacentral:rRNA from 1 species